GUGCAGCAGUCGAGAAACUUCACACUGUGCGAAAGCACGAUGAGGGAAUCCCAAGUGCUUGCACGUAAGUGUAAGCUGUUUCUCUGUCUAAAACGCAGAGAGAGUAAGGGCUGGGUAAGACGGGUGCCAGCCGCCGCGGUAAUACCUGCAGCUCAAGUGGUGACCGUUAUUAUUGGGCCUAAAACGUCCGUAGCCGGUUUAAUAAGUGCCUGGGUAAAUUGUGUAGCUUAACUAUACGAAUUCCGGGUAGACUGUUAAACUUGAGACCGGGAGAAGUUAGAGGUACUCCUGGGGUAGAGGUGAAAAUUCUGUAAUCCUAGGGGGACCACCAGUGGCGAAGGCGUCUAACUAGAACGGGUCUGACGGUGAGGGACGAAGCCCUGGGGCGCAAACGGGAUUAGAUA
rnacentral:rRNA from 1 species